AUUUAUCAUCUCAUUAUAGUUAACUCUUUUGAUUUUGUGCAUUUUAUUUAUAAUUCAUGAAUACCUCUGUUUUUUUGUUCCUACCCAAAAGAGAAAACCUUUAUCACUAUUUAAAUGUCUAUAUAGUUAUGUUUCAAGAUGGGUAUGCCACUAUUAUUAUUAUUAUUAUUAUUUCUUUAAAGCAUUCUUUAUUUUUAUGUUAAUGAAUGUUCCAUUACCGUUACUAUUUUAAUUAUUAUAUCAUUUUCAUAUGUUUUAUUAUUUGGC
rnacentral:lncRNA from 1 species